UACGAAGGUGGCAAGCGUUACUCGGAAUUACUAGGCGUAAAGGGCAGGUAGGUGGUUCGAUAAGUCUAUUGUGAAAGCUCCCGGCUUAACUGGGAGAGGUCAAUAGAUACUGUCGAGCUUGAGUAUGGGAGAGGAUACUGGAAUUCCUGGUGUAGCGGUGAAAUGCGCAGAUAUCAGGAGGAACACCGAUGGCGAAAGCAGGUAUCUGGACCAUUACUGACACUCAGCUGCGAAAGCUAGGGGAGCAAACAGG
rnacentral:rRNA from 1 species